AAAGCUCAAAUUUGAAAUCUGGUACCUUCGGUGCCCGAGUUGUAAUUUGGAGAGGGCAACUUUGGGGCCGUUCCUUGUCUAUGUUCCUUGGAACAGGACGUCAUAGAGGGUGAGAAUCCCGUGUGGCGAGGAGUGCGGUUCUUUGUAAAGUGCCUUCGAAGAGUCGAGUUGUUUGGGAAUGCAGCUCUAAGUGGGUGGUAAAUUCCAUCUAAAGCUAAAUAUUGGCGAGAGACCGAUA
rnacentral:rRNA from 1 species